AUACGGAGGAUCCGAGCGUUAUCCGGAUUUAUUGGGUUUAAAGGGUGCGCAGGCGGGAGAUUAAGUCGGCGGUGGAAUUUUGCCGCUCAACUGUAAAAGGGCCUUCGAAACUGGUUUCCUUUAGUGUAGAUGAAGUAGGCGGAAUUUGUGGGGGAGCGGUGAAAUGCAUAGAUAUCACGAGGAACUCCGAUUGCGCAGGCAGCUUACUAAACUACUACUGACGCUCAGGCACGAAGGCGUGGGGAUCAAACAGGAUUAGAUACCCUGGUAGUCCACGCAGUAAACGAUGAUUACUAGCUGUUUGCGAUACAAUGUAAGCGGCUGAGCGAAAGCGUUAAGUAAUCCACCUGGGGAGUACGUUCGCAAGAAUGAAACUCAAAUGAAUCGACGGGG
rnacentral:rRNA from 1 species